rnacentral:rRNA from 1 species
AUACGGAGGGUGCAAGCGUUAAUCGGAAUUACUGGGCGUAAAGCGCGCGUAGGCGGUUAGAUAAGUCGGAUGUGAAAUCCCUGGGCUCAACCUGGGAACUGCAUUCGAUACUGUCUAACUAGAGUAUGGUAGAGGGAAGUGGAAUUCCGGGUGUAGCGGUGAAAUGCGUAGAUAUCCGGAGGAACAUCAGUGGCGAAGGCGACUUCCUGGACCAAUACUGACGCUGAGGUGCGAAAGCGUGGGGAGCAAACAGGAUUAGAUACCCUAGUAGUCC